rnacentral:rRNA from 1 species
UACGAAGGGGGCUAGCGUUGUUCGGAAUUACUGGGCGUAAAGCGCGCGCAGGCGGUUCUACAAGUCAGUGGUGAAAGCCCGGAGCUCAACUCCGGAACUGCCAUUGAAACUGCAGAACUUGAGGAUGAGAGAGGUGAGUGGAAUUCCCAGUGUAGAGGUGAAAUUCGUAGAUAUUGGGAAGAACACCGGUGGCGAAGGCGGCUCACUGGCUCAUUUCUGACGCUCAGGCGCGACAGCGUGGGGAUCGAAACAGG